rnacentral:miRNA from 1 species
UAAAAAGAAAUAGUAUAGCCGCGCGGCUAUAUUCGCUUUUUUAAUUUUGUGACCGGCUAUACACCAUUUUUUUUCCAAUUUUUUAAAAAGAAAUAGUAUAGCCGCGCGGCUAUAAUGGUAUUUUU